rnacentral:rRNA from 1 species
UGAGGAAGGAGAAGUCGUAACAAGGUUUCCGUAGGUGAACCUGCGGAAGGAUCAUUGUCGUAUCCCGGCCCCAACGGCACACUCGCGAACUGUCCCAUCCGUCCUCGGUAGGUAGGUAGGACGCCCGCCCCCGCGCGGGACGCCGACCGACCGGCCGACGAAACUUUUCCGGCGCGGUCCGCGCCAAGGAACACCGACCGACGUGAACGCCCGCGCCGUCCUCGCUCCGUGCCUGGCCGCGCGGGCGCGCUCCCACGUACAGAAAUCUUAACGACUCCCGGCAACGGAUAUCUAGGCUCUCGCAUCGAUGAAGAACGUAGCGAAAUGCGAUACGUGGUGUGAAUUGCAGAAUCCCGUGAACCAUCGAAUCUUUGAACGCAAGUUGCGCCCGAGGCCGUCAGGCCGAGGGCACGCCUGCCUGGGCGUCACGCCCCGCGUCGCUCCCACUCCACCCCGCCCCGCGCGGCGGCGGCCGUGGGACGCGGAGAUUGGCCUACCGUGCUGCGGCGCGGCGGGCCGAAGUGCUCGAACCCUUCCCCGUGCGUGGGACGAGAACACGGCGAGUGGUGGAUUGGAUCGGACCGACCGACUCAUCGUCGCCGCGCCCUUCUCGCCCCGCCGCCCGGCGGGCGGGAUUCACGAAACCCAGCCGCGAGCGGCCGUUCGGCGACGCGCCGACGCCCGCUCCGACCGCGACCCCAGGUCAGGCGGGGCCACCCGCUGAGUUUAAGCAUAUCAAUAAGCGGAGGAA